GGGGCUGAACACAGAAGCUGGAACACUGGCAGCUGCACCUUAUGCUACUCGGCAGAAUUGUCACCCCUGCCUCUUCUCCCAUCCGGGCUGGUGAUCAGUCUGGAGUUUGUCAGAGAACGUCCUCGGCGUGAGGCAGGGGACGCCUUCAACAGGAUGCCAGUCCUCCGCAAUUAUUAAUUUGUGCAACUAGUGGAAGAGCGGCACCAGUGCCAAAGACAGUCCACAAUUUUGGUAGGGAGCUGGGAGGAUGCAAUACCAUGAACUGACUGGAGGGGUCUCCAACGACAGGAUUGGGAAAGACGGCUGUAAGGUCACACUACGCAAUCCAGGACAUCUGGUGCCAGCUGGAGAAUCAGUGCAUCUGUCACUGGAGCCGACAGGCAGCCCGCGGGCACCUGACAGGGCUGUAGGAGGCGCUCACAGCCGUCGAAGACAUGCAUCGCCGCCCACCAACUACAUUUCAAAAACCCCUUUGCGUGGAACCAUGUCUUGGGCUGAACACGGGGCAGCGAUGACAGAACCCCAUGACUGACACCGAGGGGUCAAUGCGGCGGAGGACCCAGCACCAUUUUAUACUUUGAGCAAACCAUGUAAAAGUGUAAAAGUAUCAUAAAACACAAAUUAAGGCAAUGAGAAGUAACUGCCAUUUUGAUUUUGUGUCAAAGGAAGGACGAAGGGCUCUAAAGAAACCUAUUUCCUUUCAAUAAA